rnacentral:rRNA from 1 species
GACGAACGCUGGCGGCGUGCUUAACACAUGCAAGUCGAGCGGUAAGGCCCUUUCGGGGGCACACGAGCGGCGAACGGGUGAGUAACACGUGGGUGACCUGCCCUUAGCUCUGGGAUAAGCCUGGGAAACUGGGUCUAAUACCGGAUAUGACUCCAUAACGCAUGUUGUGGGGUGGAAAGCCUUGUGCGGCUAGGGAUGGGCCCGCGGCCUAUCAGCUUGUUGGUGGGGUGAUGGCCUACCAAGGCGACGACGGGUAGCCGGCCUGAGAGGGCGACCGGCCACACUGGGACUGAGACACGGCCCAGACUCCUACGGGAGGCAGCAGUGGGGAAUCUUGCGCAAUGGGCGAAAGCCUGCCGCAGCGACGCCGCGUGGGGAUGACGGCCUCGGUUGUAAC